AAUGCUCCCAUGUCUCUUUCUCUCAUCACUGUGCCGCUGCCCCGCCCGUCAAGCUGAUUAGGAAUGAUUCGCAGAUCUAAAUCCAACUCAAGGACGAUCUUCCAAAUCUGACUCGAGGUCGCCGUCGUUGCCGAUAAUUUUUUUUUCCGUGCAUACAGGUGACGCAGGCGACAUCUUCUUCGGCAAAAGAUUCGCCAUCUUCAGAAAAAGUCGUCGGCGAAAGAAAUCGAGGCAGUCGGCGGCGAAAAAAUCAGUGGUUGAAUCGGUUGUUCGGAAAACUGGGAAACGAUGGCCAGCAAAGGUGAAUGCAGUUUGUUGAGAGUCCAAAAUGAUAUCAACGGGAUGACAUGCUUUGGGUUUCAUUGGAGAUAAGAUGGUGUCCUUUAUACUGAUUUUAUAGUUUUCUUUUUCACUGAAAUUUGAUGUUUCCUUCUUAGAAUUUAUAGUGGUUUCCGAUAAAAGUAGGUGGUUUUGUUGUUUUUGGUAAAUGUUUAGUCGUUAGAUACGUUAAUAGUGAAUUACGUUUAUUUAGUAGUGGAUUUGCGUUAAUUUAAUAGUGAAUUUACGUUUUUUUUAUUAGUGGUUUACGUCGGAAUAUUUUGUUUUUGUAGUGGGUGAUGUUAAUGGUAUAGUGGAUUCCUAUAAGUUUGUAGUGGGGAUUACGUUAAUUUUAUAUUUUGAUUAAAUUAAUUUCAUAGU